rnacentral:rRNA from 1 species
AACCUGGUUGAUCCUGCCAGUAGUCAUAUGCUUGUCACAAAGACUAAGCCAUGCAUGUCUAAGUAUAAACUAAUUAUACGGUGAAACUGCGAAUGGCUCAUUAAAUCAGUUAUAGUCUACUUGAUCGUAAAUUCUACUUGGAUAACCGUAGGAAAUCUAGGGCUAAUACAUGCUAAAAGCCGCGACUACCUCCGGGUUGGAAGCGGUGAAUUUAUUAGAUUAAAAACCAAUGGCGGGGGCAACCUCGUCAACCCUAGGCGAAUCAUGAUAACGCAUCUGAUCGGCGGCUAGUCCGCCGACGAUACAUACGAAUUUCUGCCCUAUCAACUUUCGAUGGUUGGAUAGAGGCCAACCAUGGUCGUAACGGGUAACGGAGAAUUAGGGUUCGGUUCCGGAGAUGGAGCCUGAGAGAUGGCUACAACUUCCACGGAAGGCAGCAGGCGCGCAAAUUACCCAAUCCCAAUACGGGGAGGUAGUGACAUGAAAUACCGAUGCGUGGCCCUAUUGGGUCGCGACGUUGGAAUGAGUACAAUUUAAAUCCCUUAACGAGGAACAAUUGGAGGGCAAGUCUGGUGCCAGCACCCGCGGUAAUUCCAGCUCCAAUAGCGUAUAUUAAAGUUGUUGCAGUUAAAAAGCUCGUAGUUGGAUUUCGGAGCAUUCACGAUGCUGACCGCUGAAACGGCGUGUUCGGCGCGUGGAUCUCCUCUUCUUGGGGAUUCAAGUGGGUGGCGGGUAAAACCGUCAUUCGCUCCCCAUCGUUUACUUUGAGAAAAUUGGAGUGCUCAAAGCAGGCACAACCCUGCCUUGAACAAUGCAGCAUGGGAUAAUAGAACAGGACGAAGGUCCUAUUUUGUUGGUUUCUAGGGCUUUUGUAAUGAUUAAAAGGGACAGUUGGGGGCAUUCGUAUUCAAUUGUCAGAGGUGAAAUUCUAGGAUUAAUUGAAGACGAACUACUGCGAAAGCAUUUGCCAAGGAUGUUUUCAUUAAUCAAGAACGAAAGUAGGGGGAUCGAAGAUGAUCAGAUACCGUCGUAGUCUCUACCAUAAACGAUGCCGACCAGGGAUCCGGAGAAGUUACGUGGAUGACUCCCCGGGCACCUUGUGAGAAAUCAUAAGUCGCUGGGUUCUGGGGGGAGUAUGGUCGCAAGGCUGAAACUUAAAGGAAUUGACGGAAGGGCACCACCAGGCGUGGAACCUGCGGCUUAAUUUGACUCAACACGGGGAAACUUACCAGGUCCAGACACAGUAAGGAUUGACAGAUUGAGAGCUCUUUCUUGAUUCUGUGGGUGGUGGUGCAUGGCCGUUCUUAGUUGGUGGAGUGAUUUGUCUGGUUAAUUCCGUUAACGAACGAGACCUUAACCUGCUAAAUAGUCCAUGUUUGGUUCGCCCAAGCAUGCUUGACUUCUUAGAGGGACUAGUCGAUUUUUGUGCGACUGGAAGUUUGAGGCAAUAACAGGUCUGUGAUGCCCUUAGAUGUUCUGGGCUGCACGCGCGUUACACUGACGAUUUCAACAAGUUUGUUCCUUCUCCGAUAGGAGUGGGUAAUCUUAUGAAAGGUCGUCGUGCUGGGGAUUGAUGCUUGCAAUUAUUCAUCAUGAACCAGGAAUGCCUAGUAGGCGUAUGUCAUCAACGUACGCCGAUUACGUCCCUGCCCUUUGUACACACCGCCCGUCGCUCCUACCGAUUGAAUGGUCCGGUGAGAACUCGGGAUGGCGGGCUUCCUGGCGGGCAACCGUCGUGGAGCCAUGUCAGAACUUGUUCAAACCUUACCAUUUAGAGGAAGGAGAAGUCGUAACAAGGUUUCCGUAGGUGAACCUGCAGAAGGAUCA